AUAAACAGACCGGGGAGCCUGACGGAUCAGGCUGAGAGUUGGUUGCAUCGCCAAGACCCGUAUACCUGAUUUGGAUCAUGCCAACGUAGGAAGCUGCUGAAGAGAAAG
rnacentral:ncRNA from 2 species